AUUGAACGCUGGCGGCAGGCCUAACACAUGCAAGUCGAACGGUAACAGGAAGAAGCUUGCUUCUUUGCUGACGAGUGGCGGACGGGUGAGUAAUGUCUGGGAAACUGCCUGAUGGAGGGGGAUAACUACUGGAAACGGUAGCUAAUACCGCAUAACGUCGCAAGACCAAAGAGGGGGACCUUCGGGCCUCUUGCCAUCGGAUGUGCCCAGAUGGGAUUAGCUAGUAGGUGGGGUAACGGCUCACCUAGGCGACGAUCCCUAGCUGGUCUGAGAGGAUGACCAGCCACACUGGAACUGAGACACGGUCCAGAUCCUACGGGAGGCAGCAGUGGGGAAUAUUGCACAAUGGCGCAAGACCUGAUGCAGCC
rnacentral:rRNA from 1 species